rnacentral:rRNA from 2 species
GAAAAGAAACCAACAGGGAUUGCCCUAGUAACGGCGAGUGAAGCGGCAACAGCUCAAAUUUGAAAUCUGGCUUCGGCCCGAGUUGUAAUUUGCAGAGGAUGUUUCUGGCGCGGUGCCUUCCGAGUUCCCUGGAACGGGACGCCACAGAGGGUGAGAGCCCCGUAUGGUUGGACACCAAGCCUGUGUGAAACUCCUUCGACGAGUCGAGUAGUUUGGGAAUGCUGCUCAAAAUGGGAGGUAAAUCUCUUCUAAAGCUAAAUACUGGCCAGAGACCGAUAGCGCACAAGUAGAGUGAUCGAAAGAUGAAAAGCACCUUGAAAAGGGGGUUAAACAGUACGUGAAAUUGUUGAAAGGGAAGCGCUUGUGACCAGACUUGCGCCGGGCGGUUCAUCCGGGGUUCUCCCCGGUGCACUCCGCCCGGUUCAGGCCAGCAUCGGUUUUCGUUGGGGGAUAAGAACGGCAGGAACGUGGCCCUCCUUCGGGUGGGUGUUAUAGCCUGUCGUACGAUACCCUGGCGGGGACCGAGGUUCGCGCUCCGCAAGGAUGCUGG